CAAUUCAAAGACCUCUAAAAAUAGUUUAUCUUGUUCAAAAGAAAUUAUCCUCUAAUUCAUAUUCACUAAUAACAGUUUUUAGAUUUGCAACAACAUCAAAAAAUACAAAAAGAGAGGUAAUUUAGAUUACCUCAUUUGGGUCUUGACCACAUUAAUGGUGGAAGACAUACAUCCACGAGGUAUGAACCUCGGGAGACAUUACUCCAGAUAACACUGGGAACUUGACUCCAGAUAGCACUGGGAAGAUGGUUACAUUCCACAACGGGAAGAGGAAGCACACGGAGACAUUCCUCCGGCGAAUUAAAGCAUUCUCGAGACUGACAGCUCGGAAGAAGCCAAACUUGGUACCAAUAUGAAUCGAACCCUGGUGGGAACUGAGCUCCGCUGAGACUCAACCACUUUGAUAUAGGCCGAAUUGGUGCCUAGAGAUCUAUCUUAUUUGUAUUUAACACAAUCAUUGGGCAAACAUUUAAAGAUUUAUCAAAGCCCACAAGGAACCUAAUAGAUUGAGCCCAUUAAGUUUAAUUGCACUUACAAGUUACAACGCUUUGAUUUCUCUUCUUCCUUGCAAAAUAUAACUUAGCCGUGAACAAAUGAUCAUCUCUCCAUGAUCUUAUUUUGUUUCUCCACUAGCGUACAUGGUCCGGUUAAUAAGGAAACAAAAAAUAUUCAUGUAUUUUUAUUUAAUUUUAGCUUGGUAUAUUUUUUUGGAAAAUUUCUCAAAUUAAAAGCAAAAGAAAGGUAAUUUAGAUUACCUUAAGCCGCAAUGAUAACAAUCAAUUAUUCAGUUCAGUAGGGUAAGUACCAAUUCGAACCCCGGUGGUGACAUAACCACAUAGGAAACACAACAACAUAUGAAAGUAUUGAAUUGGUGCCAAGAGCUAUAAUUUAAUUAAACUUAUCCCUAAAAAAUAAAAUCGAACGGUUCAAGUUUAGACCGGUACGCUGAAUAAUUUCACAUCAUCAGUGUAAGGUAUCGAAGAACACUACAUCUCCCUCGUCAUGGUUUACAUAUCUCUUGAAAUGUUUUGAGGAAGUAGUGAAUAAAGAGCCUGCAGGAGUUAAUUCGAUCAAGGCUAAAGACAAAGUACACACGAUUUCUUAUCGGAGAAUAAGAACUCAUCUGAGGAGCAAAGAGAUUUAUAACAUAAAGCUUGAUGAGUUCAGAGAGUGUUUGAACAAAGUUAAAUAUGUUCCCGGUGACUGAAACAGAUUUUCAUUAUAUGGAGAGAAGGAUAAAAGAGAAGCUCUUGUUGUAUCACAGUGAAAAACUUGCGGUUGCGAUUUGCUAUAACGUGCAUGUCUCACUCAAUGCGUCAGGUAACAUAUUAAAUUAUUAAUUGACGUUACCUAAAAUGAGCUAUCUACCCGUAACUUGUGGUUCAAGUUUCUUUCUUAGAUGAUCUCUUGAAAGAGACUACUACCAAAAUCAUGUAAACGGUUUUCACUAAAGAUAUAUUCUAGUUAACAUAAACCUCAUGAGAUUAGGAUUUUUAUAACAUAUAAUUAAGAUUACCUCAAGAUAUCUAUCAUCAGAGGUGAUGGAUCAGUUUUAACAAUUACUAAGAGAGAACUCAACAGAAGUCGACAAUUUAAGUAGAGAACUAAUUCUAGCGACGAUUUAAAGAGAGAAUAACCUCUGGCGACGAAAGUACCGAUUCGAACCUAAGUGGCAUGUCAUGUGACACAACAAACUGGAAAAUUAUUAAAUAAAUCUUCUAAGAAAACUACGAAUCGGAAUAGAAAAUUAGCUAACAGAAUAACCCUAAAGGAACAUUGGCACGAUGUCGAACGGUACGUUCUAUCUACAUCGUAAUUUCAUAUCUAGAUAAAAUCGUAGAGACGAAAGAGAGUCACCACAAAUCAGUGAAUAACUCCGAUGUGGAAGAAGAAGACCACAUGGAAACUUAAAAUUUUUAGUUUUUGUAUAAACUUUUUUAAAAAAGAAUUUGUAAAGUUCAUUUUUCUUCAAGGAUAAAAAACUGGGUUUUCUAAUUAGUUAUAUCCACGUAAUGUAUAAAAUUACAAUAUUUAUUAAAUUGUGUAUUAAAUAACAAUUUUUAUUAAACAAGGUAUUAUUAGAGAAAUUAUGUUUUUUAAAAAAGUAAAUAAAUAUACCAAUAUUAUUUGUUUGAAACCACCGCAUCAAAGAAAAUUACAAAUCAGAAUAGAAAAUUAGGUUACAGAUUAUCAACGUUAAAGGAACACAUGCACGAAGUUGAACGAUACGAUUUAUAUCUUAAUUUCUAAUCAUAUAAAAUCGCGAAAACGAAAGAAAAAAGGACAAGAACGAGAAGUCGAUAAAAAAGGAUUCGAAUAGAGAAGAGGCAAGAGGCACGAAAAGGAGGUAGUGAUUCUUCAAAAACAAAUUCAACUAUUUUUGGAAAAUUUUCCCAAAUUAAAAACAAAAAAAGGUAAUUUAGCGGCUAACUGCAUUAGUGAGUUGGAUCAAUACAACGCCGUUAGCUUUGUCGGUAGCCAAUCGAACUAACUAACUAUAAUAUAAAUCUACCGACUUUGUACCAAUUCGAACCCCGGUGGGGGUGAAACUUGUUAGGUUACUCAAGUACACAACCACAAAUGAAAGUACUGAAUUGGUGACAUAAGCUCUAAUUUAAUUAUACUUAGAGCACCAUUAUUGGUGGUUUCUUAGAUGGUUCUUAACUUUUUUAUUUUAGAAUUAAACAUUGAAAAAAAAAUCAAAACAAAUUAAAAUGCUAAGAUUUGACUCUUAGCUAAGAGUUUUUGGGAGUGUUAAGAGCUAAGAUUUGACUCUUAACUAACAAAAAACUAAAAUUUUAAUAUUAAACAAUGUUAAGAGAUAUAGUUAAGAACCCCCUGUUAAUGAUGGUCUUAUCCCUUUAAAUUAAAAUCGAAUGGUUCCGGUGUAGACCGGUAAUCCGGUAUGCUAAAUAAUUUCACAUCUUCACUGUAAGGUGUCAAAUUGAAGAACACUUAUAUUUUCCUCGUCAUGGAUUCAUUGGAGGUUCUUACGGCAUUGGCCGUAGGCGUAAGGGGUGUUCUGUAGUAUAUUUUGUUUGCAACAUUUCCAACAACACGCAAUGGAAUUGGUUUCCAACUUUCUAUAAAUUGAUAUCAAUAUGUUGUUAUCUAUUCGUCAUUUGAUUUAUAUGUUUAUGUAUGAAACUUGUGGUUGAAGAUUCUUUCUUUGAUGAUCUCUCGAAAGAAACUAUUUCAAAAUCAUGCUAACUGUUUCCAGUAAAGAUGUAUUCAAAUUAAUAAUAUUAAUUUUAUGAUUACGACCUUUACCUCAAUGAUACUUAUGGUUGCUAAUGGAAAUCAACAAGCUCCGACUUCGCCGAAUCUGUUCCAAAACCCUUAAUAUCUUGCAAACAAAAGUAGGAUUUUCUACAUAUUGAUUCCAAACGACGAAAUUAAAUGAAAAGAAAAGAAUGAAUAAAUUUCAAAGAAAACUAUGAUUCGGAAAUAGAAAAUUAGGUUUCAAAUUUUUAUCAUCAUUAAAGGAACACCGGCACGAAUUCAAAAAGUACGAUCUGUCCAUCUCGUAAUUUUAGAUAUAGAUAAAAUCGCGGAAACGAAAGAGAGUCACUUCAAUCGGUUGAUAACUAAGUUGCUCACAAACGGAAUUUCGCCAAACCACAUUACUCUAGCUAGUGAGCGUCCUUUUGUGCGUGAAACCACGUACAUAGAAAAUGUUGUUUGACGCGAACUGCAUCAAUAUGGGCCGGGGAGCGGUUCUUGGUGAGGGAAAAGUUCCACAAGACCGUAAAGUUUGGGAAAUUCGUUGCAAAGAUAGUAAAAGUUCUUGAGCCUUAUAAAAUUCAGAAACACGCAUGCUUUUAGCGGAUAUAUAUGCAGAUGCGAGAAUGUGUGAGGAAGUAAUGAAGACGAGGAGGUUAAUGAGAGAGAGAGAUUCAAGUUAAUAAAAAACCUGCAGGAGUUAGUUGGAUUGAGGUUAAAGACAGAGUACACACGAUUUAUUGUCGAAGAUAGAACUAAUCCGAGGAGAAAAGAGAUUUAUAACAGAAAGCUUGAUGAGCUCAGAGAGUGUUUGAACAGAUUUGGAUAUGGUGACUGAAACGGAUCUUCAUUACGUGGAGAGAAGUGCAAAAGACAAGCUUUUGUUGUAUUACAUUGAAAAAGUACUUGCGGUUGCGUUUUGCUAUUUUGUGCAGGUCCCAACACGUGAGGAUUCAUAUUGUCGUUUGUUAAUAUGAUCUCUAAUUUAGAUUACCUCAAGAUAUCCAUCAGGUAGCUGAUCAGUAUAACAACUUAACAACCAUUGAGAGUAAACUCAUUGAAAGUUGACAAUUUAAGUAGAGAAUUAACUCUAGCGACGAAAGUACCCAUUCGAACCCAGGUGGCCAGGUGACACAACCAACUGGGAAAGUAUUGAAUUGGUGUCAUAACCUCUAACUUAAUUAUACUUAAAAGCUAAAACUAACCGAACGGUUCCGGUUUUAACUGGUUAGCUAAAUAAGGUAUAAAGGUAGUAUAAGUGUAAAUGUAAAUUAAAUAAUUCAAGCUUAUAAGUCUUUUUCCCAUUUUGGGGUAUUUUAGAAAUUUUUGAUCUUUUAAGAGUCAUUCUAAAAUACAUGAACCUUUUUCGUUUUCCAAAUUAUACCUCGUUUAAUAAAAAUUGUUAUUAAUUUUACUAUUUAACAAAAGCUGGAAGUUUUAAAAAUAUAUUUUUGGAAAUUUUCCGAAAGAAAAGGUAAUUUAGAUUACCUAUACAUAUCAUGGUUCAGUUAUUCUUUUCUGCCGAGUAGGUACCAUUUUGAACCACGGUGGGGUGUGAGAUUUAGCAAGUGACACAACCACAUUUGAAAGUAUUGAAUUGGUGAUAUGAGCUCUAGCUAAUUUAAUUGUAGUUAUCCCUAAAAAAAAAAAAAAUCGAACGGUUCCGGUUUAGACCGGUUCGCCAAAUGAUUUCACAUCAACUGUCUAAGGUAUCAAACUGAACAACAGUACAUCUUCCUCGUCAUGGAUUCAUCAUCUGACAAUACAAGAUCGUUACGUCUCUAAACCGUAUCAAAAUAGAGACGUAAACAACAACAAAAACGUAUGAUUAUACGAGAUAUAAGCUAAGGUUUAUAGAUUGUGUUCAUGCCUUCAUGUCAUUAUUGGUGUUUGGUGCGGUGCUUUUAUUCGAUCGAAACGCGGUCAAUUGUUUCUUUCCAGCACCGUCAGCUGAAGCAGUAGAGGUUCUCACGGCAUUGCCCGUAGGCGUAGGGGUGUUCUGUAGUAUGUUGUUUGCAACAUUUCUAACAACACGCACUGGAAUUGGUUUCCAACUUUCUAGUAAAUUAAUGAUAUCAAUUUGUUGUUAUCUAUUUGUCAUUUGAUUUAUAUGUAUAUGUAUGUAACUUGUGGUUCAAGAUUCUUUCUUUGAUUAUCUCUCGAAAUAGACUAUUCCAAAAUCGUGCUAACUGUUUACAGUAGAGAUGUAUUCAAAUCAACCGACUUAGUACCAAUCCGAACUCCGUGGCGUGAGACUUGCUAGGUGACACAAGCAGUGCCGUGCCAAGGCUUUUUGGGGCUUGGAACGAAAAAUAAUAUGUGGCCUAUCUAAUUUAGUUGAAUAAUUAUUUUUUAAACAACCUAAAAUAUAAGCAAAAGAGAAAAAUUGAGCUACAAUACAAAGUCAAGGUUCUAAAUCUAUAUAGCGAAAUGAAUUAUGCUAACAUGGAUCAAACUUCAAGCAAAAUACAUGUAUGAGACAACUUAAAUUUGUUGAACCAACAAAAUAUUUUUAAUAAUGUGGCCUAAAAAUCAAGUCUAUAAAAUGUGGCUGUGGGCGAAUGCCCUUUAUGUUAAGGGGUAAGCACGGCACUGGAUACAAGUACACAACAACAUGAGCUCUAAUUUAAUUAUACUUAUCCCUAAAAAACAAAUCGAACAGCUCCAGUUUAAACCGGUACGCCAAAUAAUAUCACAUCAUCAGCGUAAGGUAUCAAAUAUACUAGAUGUUGCAAUGGUUUUUUUUCAAAUAAACUAAACGUUACAAUGGUUCAUAAAAUAAAAAAAUGUUGCAAUGGUUCAACAAACACUAACAAAAAAAAUUAUAUAAUAUUUUAAUAAUUAAAAAUUAAAUAAAAAUAUAUUUUAAAGAGUUACGAUCAAAAGUCGCCACGGUUGAAGUGACUGUAAAAAAUAUUUGUGCAUGUUGUUAAUAUUAUUAGAUUACUUGUACGAAAAGGACUCUUAAUGAGAAAAUUUCCAAAAAAAAAUACGCCUAUUUUUUUCUUGUGAAUAAAGAGUACAGAGAUUCUUCAUUGCCUCAAACUUUAUGGUGAUGCUUCUGGUCAGGAGAUUAAUUUUCAGAAAUCGUCUAUCACUUAUGGUAAGAAGAUUGAUCCUAUUAUGAAGCACUUAUUGGGGCUGUUCAUGGGUAUUACCAAGGAAGGUGGAGCUGGUAAAUACCUAGGUUUGCCAGAGUGUUUUAGUGGUUCUAAGCGCGAGCUAUUGGCCUACAUCACAGAUAAAUUAAAAAGCAGGUUAACGGGAUGGUAUGCUAAGACGUUAUCCUUGGGCGGAAAGGAGGUGCUUCUUAAAUCAGUGGCCAUGGCAUUACCAGUUUAUGCGAUGUCAUGUUUCCGUUUAACUAAGCAACAAUGCCAACAGCUUACAAGUGCGAUGACAAGUUUCUGGUGGAAUUCAUGUGAGGAACAGAAAAAGAUGCAUUGGGUCUCAUGGGAGAAAAUGUGUAAAACAAAACAAGAUGGUGGUUUAGGUUUUCGAGAAGUUAGCGAUUUUAAUCAAGCACUUUUAGCCAAACAGGCUUGGCGACUUCUCUCGGAACCCUCUUCCUUAUUGGCCAGAGUUUUUAAAGCAAGGUAUUAUAAUCGGCGAGACUUUCUCCAUGCGGCUGCAGGCUCUAGACCGUCAUAUGCUUGGCGUAGCAUUCUCCAUGGUCGAGAAUUGUUGGAGAAAGGUCUCGUGAAAGUCAUUGGUAAUGGACAAUCUACGAAUGUUUGGACUGAGAAAUGGAUUUUUGAUAAAGCUCCUCGACGACCUUUCAACAAACAGACACUUAUAGACUUAGACUUAAAAGUUUCAAACCUUAUUACCUCUCAAGGCUCUUGGAAUCAAAGUUUAAUGUCUGAUUUGUUUUUCCCACCGGAUGUGGUACGAGUGAUGUCUUCCCCACCGAAUACGGCUUCUGCGGAUAGAUUUAUUUGGGCUUAUACUCGAACUGGGUGCUACACAGUGAAAAGUGGAAGUUGGUUGAUAUAUUCUUUAAAGAGAGAGACCUCCAUUUUAUCAUUACAAGAACAGACUUCACGUUUGCUGAAAGAGAAGGUAUGGGACUUGAAAACUAUUCCAAAGAUCAAAUUGUUUUUAUGGAGAGUGUUAUCUGGUGCUUUGGGAAUUGCGGAAUGCUUGCAAGCUCAUGGUUUAAAUCCUUUGAUGCAAUGUUCACUCUGCCAAAACGAUUUAGAGUCGUUGAGCCAUGUUUUAUUUUUGUGUGGUCCUGCUCGUACAGUAUGGGAGAUUUCUAAUAUUCCCUUGCCUGUCCAGGGGUUUACAGAAUGCUUAUAUGAUAACUUUACAUUUCUUUUUGAGUUGUUGAGAAAUUCUGCAGUAGACCCCAAAUUACAGUUGGCAAUUCCUUGGUUGCUUUGGGGUAUUUGGAAACAUAGGAAUGAAGUUAUUCACGCAGGGAAACAUGGUGAUUUAAACAUCCUUGUAGACCAUGCUAUCGAGGAGUCAGAGAUAUGGAAUAAGUUGGUGUUAGAGCCGUCUGGUCACAAUGUUCAAGUUGCUCGUGCUCCGAGAGCUGAAGUAAGAUGGUUGAGACCUCCGCUUAAUAUGUAUAAAUGCAAUGUCCAUUCAUCAUGGAUCAAUGACACGAGUAUGUGUGGUGGUUCAUGGAUUGUGCGGAAUCACAAUGGAGAUGCUGUCUUUCAUGCGAGAGAAGCCUUUCUACCAACUACCAACCGAAUCGCUUCAGAGUUACGAUGUUUUCUGUGGGCGCUACAAAGUUUAAAAGAUCUACAUUUCGAGGACAUUGAGAUUUGGUCUGACUGUGCGGCUGCGAUUGAAGCGGUCACGGAUCCCAUGAAUUGGCCACGGUAUCAUUCUUACCUUGAUAAGAUCUCUCGCAUUACUCCGGGUUUUCGUAAAAUUUUCUUUAAGCUUGCGUCCCCAAAAGCGAAUUCAGUUGCAAGAGAUAUUGCUAAAAGUGUUACUCGAGAUGGACGUUUCAGAUCAUACCUUGCCAUUGGCGGUCCGGCAUGGUUGCAUUCACGCAUAGAGGAAGAUAAACGACGAUGAAGCUUCAUCAGAUUUGGUUGAUCAAGUUCAGUUUCUUGUUUUAUUUAAAUGAGUACUGUUGCUCUGUUUUGUGAUGGUUUUAUUGCUCUGUUUCUUUUGUUUCACGAACCUCAUUUCUAUCUUAAUACAAACUCUUGACGACAAAAAAAAAAAAACUUUUUUCGUUUCCCAAAUAAUACAUCGUUUAAUUAAAAUUGUUAUAUAAAACUGUAACUUUUAAAAAUACUUUUUUGGAAAUUUUCCAAAAUGAGAAGGUAAUUUAAAUUACCUCUACGUUCACGGUGAACGCUAAUCAAGGAUCAAUUAUUCUUUGUUUCCGAAUAGGUACCAAUCGAACCCCGGUGGCAUGUGAGACUUAGCAAGUGACACAACCACGUAUGAAAGUAUAAAAUUUGUGAUAUUAGCACUAAUUUAAUUGUAGUUAUCCCUAAAAAACAAAAUCGAACGGUUCCGGUCUAAACCGGUUCUCCAAAUGAUUUCACAUCACCAGCCUAAUGUAUCCAAUUGAAGAACACAACAACUUCAUCGUUAUGGAUUCAUCAUCUGACAUCAGUGCGUUGAUCUUAAUUGUUUGGUUCGGUUCCUUUUUUUGUGUUCCACAAGAGUCCAAUGUUAGUUCUUGUGGGUUUUGGUUUACUCCACUCUUGGUUUUGUCAAAGUCUCUUGAAUUUUUCUCGUCUUCGGCUUCCAGAUGUCUGUUUCUUGUAAGUAUAGAUUCGAUCCCCAUAAGAUUGAGUUUUAGGAUUUUCUCUAAAGAUUCAAGAUUUCGGAGUUCUUUGAUUGUAAUUUCAUGGAAAAAAUACAGAGUCUUGGUUUUUACUUUACGCCCAUAAACGGUUCGACGAAAGUCAUGAACCAAAAGAUUUGCGUUUUCUUUAGUCAUCUCACUCAGUUCAAAGACACCUAAAAAUCCUUCAUCUUGUUCAAAAGAAAUUGCCCUCUUUUUCAGAUUUGCAACAGCAUUAAAAAAUACAAAAAGAGAGGUAAUUUAGAUUACCUCAUUUGGGUCUUGACCAUAUCAAUGGUGGAAGACAAACAUCCACGCGAGGUAAGAACCUCGGGAGAGAUGACUCCAGAUAACACUGGGAACAUUCCACAACGGGAAGAAGAAGCGCACGGAGACAUUACUCCGGCGAUUAGAAGCAUUCUCGAGACUGAUUGCUCGGAAGAAGCCAAACUUGGUACCAAGAUGGAUCGAACCCUGGUAAAAUCAUGUCCUUAGCUUAUCAUGUCCAUACUUGCUCACUUGCGACUUCCUAAGUACUCGCAAGAAGCAAUGAUACUUAAAGUGGUUGAGUCUCAGUUGAGCAUAGUUAAGCUAAGGACUAAGAUUCUUACUUAGAUGAUCUCUUGAAAGAAACUACUACCAAAAUCAUGUAAAUUGUUUCCAGUUGAGAUGUAUUCAUGAUAAGCCCUGAUCCACUUGUUAACAUAAACCUCAUGAGACUGACCCCUCAAAAACCAUUGUCUUUGUUUAAGAGAGAUGAUAGAUAUACGAUGGACAUUAGGACAAUUGGUAGUAGUAAAAAAAAAAAAAAAAAAAAAGCAAAAAAGAUAGGUAAUUUGGAUUACCUCAGAUAAGUGAUGUUGAGUCAAAUUAAACAACCACAGAGCGAGAAAUCUGGGAAGAAGUUGAAGAGGACAAGCCACGACUUUUUAAGGAUCGGGCUGAUUAGUACCAAUUGAACCCUGGUGGCAUAUGUAAGUAGUGAUAUAUGUAGCACCUCGGUGCAUUCCUACCGGGACCGACCGGAUAGCCGAUAGUGUUUAUCAAAAAAAAAAAUGUAAGUAGUGGUCAGACACAACCACUUUGAACGGGUUCAAUUGGUGUUACACACUCUAAUUUAAUUUUACAUAUACGCUAGAUAUAACCGGUUCCCGGUUUAUAACGGUUCGUUAAAUAAUUCCACACACACAUACCACAAACAAUUUGAGUUCGAGGGUUAAGGGACAUUGCGUCGACGUCGUGAAAAACACUAUGUCCAAAAACAUUUGAAUCUAGUAAGGUUAAAAGACACGAGCAAUUUAGAUAUUCCUAACAAGAUCUACCUUUCACCUCAUAAACGUUUUUUGCUUUUAUCCUUCUCUUCACCAAAAAAACAUUUAAAAUGAAAAAGAAUUUCUCUAGUUUUUGCAUUUUGUGUCAGAGUCGACAAAACAGUCACUGGCAAAACAUUCGAAUCUGUUUAAUUAGUGUUAAAUUGCCCACAAAGAAUCCACUAAAUUUAGCUUCAAAUUGAAGAAGAUGAGAAAUUAACUUUGUCUUUGUCCGAGUUACAGGUGUCAAACGGGCCGGUCCGCGUCCAUCUAGGUCGGCCCGCGAUGGGCAUUUAAAUUUAUGAGACCGUGGCGGGCCGGCCCGCUAGGACCGCGGGCAAAAAUAAUAUGUCCAGGCCCGCCCCGCGGGCUUAGUUUUAAAUAUUUUAAAAAUAAUUAAAAAAUAAAAUUAAUUUUUUAAAUUUGAAAUUAACAAUUUUUCAAUAAAAAAAUAUUUAUUUAUUUAUAUUAAUUAUUUAUUUUUAUUAAAUAUUUGUAGUCCGCGGACCGGUCCGCAAAUCUGCGGACAAAACCCGCAAAAACCCGCAAUCCGCCUGGGCUUGUCCGCGAGAUCCGCUAUUUUAUGAGCAUGAAAAAUGAUGUCCAAGCCCGCCCCGCUGUGGGUUAUUUGGACGAAGCCUGCGGGCUAUCGGCCCGCUUGACACCUCUAACCAAACCAUGAUCAACGACGACGAAUAAAAAGAGAUCGAUAUUUCUUGUUCACUUAGGAUCAAUUAUCAAAAUUUCAGAAAAUAGGUAAUUUAGAUUACCUAGUCCCCGUGGUGUGAUUUUUUAAAGCCAUGAAGAGAAACAAACUUUCAUCUCCAUUUGUACCAAUAUGAAUUCUCGAACCCUGAUGGAAUCUACUCCCCAUGCAGGCAUGCAGAGUUAUUACCACCUUUACUGGACCCGAAUUGGUGCUCGUAGUUCCAUUUUUUAAUACUUAAAUUAGCUUUUAACCCAGAUCUUAAUUCCCGGUUUAAUUCGGUUCACUAAAGAUUCCAGAACCAGAAAUAAUUAAUUAGUUGCACUUAUUUCGGGUUAUUCCAUGUGAGAAGUGCAAAGGAGACGAAUUUUGGUUGUAUCACAGUGAAAAACUUGCGGCUGCGUUUUGGUUUUAUUGUGAUGCUAGUAAAAGCUCCAAUUACGGUUAAUAAGAAUCUGUAUGGAUUGUCAGUUGUCACACAUGUGUUUAAGUUUGUUGAGAGAUUAUCGCUAGAUAUAUUCAUAGGUUAGGUUUCUUCUAUUCAACGAUGGUAUUUGUUCUUGUUCUUGUGGAGAUUAUUGGUGAAUAUUUGUUUUUGUGAAAUUAUAGUGAGACAACUGGUAAAAUGAGCAAAAGUGGACAAAUAAUUUAUUUUUAAUAUGUGCAAAAAAGAUUUUUUUUGUUCGUAAUGAGCAAAAAAUAUAUUUGUGCUUUUUUGGGAGUAAAAGGAGUUAUUUGUUUAAAACAUAAUGAAAAUAAGAUAGUUAAUUAGCUUAGUUGUUGGAAAUUGGCUUAGUUACAUUCAUAUAAAUUAAGUUUAAGCUUAGUUUGCACUCACAAGUCACACACAUUGGCUUCUUUGUUCUCUUAUUGUGUCUUUCUCUUCUUCCCCAAUAUUAAAAAACUAGCUAACUUAUCACAAAACUCCUUCGUUUAUGCAUAUUAUUAUAUAAUCAACAAAUGUAAACACUCUUGCAUGUUCAUUAUAUUACAUCAUGCGACGCUUUUCUUGCAAAACUUGAUUCAGUUCAGCUGCUUUUUUUUUUUUUUUGUUAAUUUGCUUUUUUUUUUUAAGUGGCUUUAUGUGUCUUUUGUGAACAAACAUGAUCUUCUGGUGAUUUAUGCAGGAUAUGGAUCAUGACUCAUGAGACCUCGGUAAAGAAGAUGUUUUUUGGAAAGACAUAUGUUGCACAAUUUACAUUUUUGUAAUUGUGUCGCAAUUACGGUGUCUAGACGGAUUAGACGAUCAAGCUCUUUCCAUUUCAAGUUUAAUUUCUAGUUUUAUAUAGUCGUAUUAGUUUAAAUAAAUUUAUUUAUUUAAUGAUAUCCAAACAUGGUUUGCAACAAGACAAUGAUAAAGGAUAGACUCUUCCUAGAAGUUAUACAAGUGUAGCAACGUUUAUUUUUUCUUUGAAUAUAAUUUAACAUUAAAUUCAAAAAAAGAAAGAAUAUAUUAACGAGUAUGGACAUGUCUCGAAAUUACUCAUUCAAACAAUUUAAAACUUCAAUUUUUAAAAAUAUUUAUCCGAAAACAUCCAAUUUAUUUCGUAACUAAUCUAAAUAUCCAAUUUCGAGUUUGUUCCUUGUCUAAAUUAAUGAAAUGAUUAAAGCUUCACAUGUUUAACAAAAAACACCAUUGGAGAUUAAUUUACAUGUUACGUUAUAAACUAUUUUUUGUUGCCAAGGAUAGAGCCCUAUGCAAUAGAAUCGGUGAAUCAUAGAGAGGAGAACAUAUAGCAACUAGCAAGAGACUUUUCAACCAUGGGAUGAAAGAGUCGAACAUGUGACCUGAGUAAUAAUCUUCGACUGAUAUUCAAAUUGGUUUGUGCGGUUUAGACUGAUUCUCUUAUUAAAUUUUUAAAUUAGACACAAACCAAACGAUUUAACCAAAAUUUUAUUUUCUUGUGUCGUCGUCGGAAAAAAACAAUUUUUCCACAAACAUUUAAAUCUCGUAAAGUUAAAAGAUAAGAACAAUUAAGAAGAUCUACCUUCACCUCAUACACAUAACAUAAAAAGUAUAGAUGAUUUUGGUCGGAACAUUUACCUCCUUUCGAGAUUUAUUAUUCUAAAAAAUAGUAAAAAGGAGAGGUAAUUUAGAUUACCUCAUAUUUGGGUCGUACCACAAAGGGUAGAGAGUGAUCACCAGAUUAGACUGGGAAUGUUUAAUUUCCACUACGGGAAGAAUAAUCACCAGAUAGACUGGGACUGUUUCCAACCAUCAAAGGGUGGUGGUGUCCAAAGAAGCCCAGAUUCGCUGGGAAUGUUUCCAAAUUCCACCAUCAAAGGUAUUCCACAAGAAUGAGCCCAAAUCCGUUGGGAAGACUAUUUGCCACAACUGGAACACAGAGAGAAUCCAAACUUGGUACCAAUAUGGAAUCGAACCCUUGUGGGAGUGCAACUCAACUAGAGACUCAACCACUUUGAAAGGGCUCCAAUUGGUGGCCGAACGUCUAUUUUAUUUGUAUAUAAACCCUUUUGAACUGAAGUCAAACCAAAAAGUUUCUCGGUUAAGAAUGGUUCGCUUUCUAUUUCUUUAAACGCUUUUUUUUUCUAACCGAGAAAAGUCGGCAAAAACAGUCAUUG
rnacentral:lncRNA from 1 species